UUUGUGUGUGCUAGAAUAAAUAAAGACAUUAGCAUAACAACUUAUUGUAAAUCAAUAAAAAAAGACAUUAAAUAUAACAACAUGCUAAAGCAACUCAUGUUGAGUCGAAAGCCAGAGGGGGGGAGGUGGGAGGGGGGUGUUUAAAGGGUGUAGGGGACAGUUGCUUUUCAUUAACCCUUCCACAGUAUGUUUAAUUUUACUGUCAAAACAAACAUCAAACAAGAGGGAACAAUAGCACCUCAUGUAUUGAAAACAACCGCAUGCCUUUGCCUUUCAGUCUGCUCGCUUAAUGCUAUUUAGCAUCUAUGCUGAUGUGCUCAAACCCUUUCGAAAACGGAUUGAGCACAAACAGCGCAGCAACACAAGUGACAGACGAGCACUCACAGUCUUAUUCUUUAUCCUCCGCAAAGAACAGCUGAUAUUAGUGCUGCGCUGAUGAGCUAAGAGGAUUUGCGAUGUGUAAAUGAUCAACACAUCCAUCUGGAGGCUGUAUGAAAUCAAUAUUCUUUCAAGAGGACUGAGACUCCACCCACUUCCCCACCCCUGCCUACCUCCCUUCCAGCUUCGUCUACCUGGCCCAAGGAUGACAUCAUCUCCAUGAGUAGCCAGUGUGAGAGAGAGUGAAGGAGAGUUGUCUCUCGUUCUCCUCCUCCUCCUCCUCCUCCUUCCCACUCUUGACGUGAUGAAAACAAGCGGUCCUCUUUGUCUCUCCGCCAUGCACAGUGCGUCUCCACCUGUGCCGGAAUCCACGUUCACGAAAAAGAGACCAUGAUCAGGUGGCUACUUUUACGGCCAAAACGAGAUUGCUGAACCUUUAUUUGAGUUUUGAUUGUGCUUUUCCAACCUGUGCAUCAAACCUGAGAUGACCCCC